rnacentral:tRNA from 1 species
UAGCCUAGUGGUUAAGGCUAUGGAUCGCCAAUCCGAGGGCGGCGGGUUCGAUUCCCGU